ensembl:rRNA 5S_rRNA 5S ribosomal RNA
GUCUACGGCCAUACCACCCUUAAUGUGCCCGAUCUCAUCUGCUCUCUGAAGGAAUACAGUCUAAGUCUCCUGUGGAUGGUAGGGACCUAACUACUUUAGCCGUUACCGUUGUGU